UGAAAGUCAGGUCGGAUUAAGCCAUAGUACGGGAAAAACUAUGCUACCUGUGAGCCCCGUCCAAGGACGUAAAAAGAAGUCAGGCCAUCACAAAUGCCACAGCUUGAGCAAACUGUGCAGCCUGUAGCUCCACCUGAGGUGGAGUACAGG
rnacentral:lncRNA from 1 species